rnacentral:rRNA from 1 species
GACGAACGCUGGCGGCGUGCCUAAUACAUGCAAGUAGAACGCUGACGGAGGAGCUUGCUUCUCUGGAUGAGUUGCGAACGGGUGAGUAACGCGUAGGUAACCUGCCUGGCAGCGGGGGAUAACUAUCGGAAACGAUAGCUAAUACCGCAUAAUAGUAGAUGUUGCAUGACAUUUGCUUAAACGGUGCACUUUCAUCACUACCAGAUGGACCUGCGUUGUAUUAGCUAGGUGGUGGGGUAACGGCUCACCAAGGCGGCGAAACAUAGCCGACCUGAGAAGGGGGACGACCACACUGGGACUGAGACACGGCCCAGACUCCUAAGGGAGGCAGCAGUAGGGAAACUUCGGAAAUGGACGGAAGUCUGACCGAGCAACGCCGCGUGAGUGAAGAAGGUUUUCGGAUCGUAAAGCUCUGUUGUAAGAGAAGAACGAGUGUGAGAGUGGAAAGUUCACACUGUGACGGUAUCUAACCAGAAAGGGACGGCUAACUACGUG